rnacentral:rRNA from 1 species
GACGAACGCUGGCGGCGUGCUUAACACAUGCAAGUCGAACGAAGUGGCGAACGGGUGAGUAACGCGUAAUCAACCUGCCCUUCAGGGGGGGACAACAGUUGGACACGACUGCUAAUACCGCAUACUGAAGGUGGGGAUUGCGUCGGAUUAGCUGGUUGGAGGGGUAACGGCCCACGAAGGCGAUGAUCAGUAGCCGGUCUGAGAGGAGGAACGGCCACAUUGGGACUGGUACACGGUCCAGAAUCCUACGGGAGGCAGCAGGGGGGAAUCUUCCGCAAUGGAGGAAAGUCUGACGGAGCAACGCCGCGUGAGUGAUGACGGCCUUCGGGUUGUAAAGCUCUGUUAAUCGGGACGCGGUACCGGAAGAGAAAGCCACGGCUAACUACGUGCCAGCAGCCGCGGUAAUUC